AUUUGUACAACUCAACCAUCACAUGAGUCCUCAAUUAAAAUCCCACCUAACCCUAUCUUGCUCAUAACUUGCUCUUUGCUUGAUAUGAACUCCUCGUAUCACAUCAUCUAUAACUCCUCGUGAGUUAUCUCAUACUAUUUCAUAGUACAUCAUCUUCAUAGCAUCAAGCUAUAAUUAUUCAAACAUUACAGACCAUCUUUCCUUUAUAACUUAAACAGAUCACGUCGUGAUCUUAUUCUAUAAUCAUACCUUAAAAGUCUUUCCUUAACUCGUGAUCAUUUUGUUUUACGAUCCCCUUUCUUUCCAUUUUCAUCAUUAUGACAUUCUUCGUUAUCUUGAGUAUUGGAGUUAGGCAACUCCCAUUCUUUUUUUUUUCACUUCAAGAUUCUUCUUUGAAUUUUCUUGUUUAUAUAACAAUUAUUCCUUUAAGAAUUUCUAACUUCAUUCACAUUGCUCAGCAUUUCAUCAUACGUAUCCAUUUUUUAUACGUGGUACACAUCGAGUCUCUAAUAGUUUCAAUAUGGUACGCUGAGUGAUUUCCCACAAACAACCAACAAACUAGGUUCCGAGUUGCUAGUUCGUAUAUAACACCGCUCUAUAAAGGAAUCGUUUAGCCCAGAUACCAUACAUCAACUAUUAAAGAGUACAACUGUACCCUUCUUCUCACCAAUUCACAUAGCAAAUAGGAACUGAAAGACUUGCCUUGAUCAUUGUUUACCAAUAAACAUUUAACAACUUACAGUUAUCUGCACUUCACGUGCCCUACACAAUUAUAUAAUCAUACACAUCAAUUAUUAGUCACAUAACAACACAUAGAGCGGAGGUAUAUACGAACUAGCAACUCGAAACCUACUUUGUUGGUUAUUUGUGGGAAACAACUCAGCGUACCAUAUUGAAACUGUUAGAGACUCGAUGUGUACCAAGUAUAGAAAAUGCAUAUGUAUGAUGAAAAUAUGGAACUUAAAUGAAAUGUUGAGCAAUGUAAAUGAAGUUAGAAAUUAUUAAAAGAAGAAUUGUUAUAUAAACAAGAGAAUUCAAAGAAGAAUCUUGAAGAUAAGAAAUGGCAAUAGCCAAG
rnacentral:lncRNA from 1 species